AGUUUAUAGUCCUGAGAGUUGAAGACUGGAUGACUGACAGCUGUCCUUCAUGACAACAGAAGCCACAGAAAUCCUCCUCAUCAAAAACAUGACUUUGACCUCCGUCCUCAUCUGGACUCUCCUCUGCUUCACUCAGGGGUCUGUUGGACAAAAUGUUGUCUUGACUCAGCCAGCAGCCAAAACAGUACAGCUGGGUCAAACUGUCUCUAUUGAAUGUAAGGCCAGUCCAAAAGUAGCUCAGUACUCUGGUGCACAAUACUACCUGUCCUGGUACCAUCAGAAAACUGGAGAAGCUCCUAAACUUCUGAUCUACAGAACAUCAGACAGAGAGUCAGGAAUCUCCUCCAGGUUCAGUGGAAGUGGAUCAGGGAAUGGAGUUGACUUCACUCUGACCAUCAGUAGAGUCCAGGCUGAAGAUUCAGGAGAUUAUUACUGUCAGAGUUAUCACUAUAUCAACAGUCAGCAUGUGUUGACUUUUGGUGGAGGAACCAGACUGGAUGUUGGAAGUGAUACUCGUCCCACCCUGACGGUGCUGCCCCCCUCCAGCGAGGAGCUGCAGCAGGGGAAGGCCACGCUCAUGUGCCUGGCCAACAAGGGCUUCCCCUCAGGCUGGAGUCUGGCCUGGAAGGUGGACGGCAGCAGCAACAGCAGCUGGAAGGAGACCAAGAGCCCCGGGGUGCUGGGUAAGGACGGCCUCUACAGCUGGAGCAGCACCCUGAGGCUCAAUGCAGACCAGUGGGGGAAGGUGGGCUCUGUGACCUGUGAGGCCACCCAGGGCUCCCAGCCUCUGGUCUCAGAGACACUGAGGAGAGACCAGUGUUAGUCCUGAGCUGACUCACUGGGACUCUGCUGCUGGUUUUACUCUGCUACUGCUCUCACUCUGCUCUCUCUAACACUGUCUCUCUCUCUUUUAUUUCACAUGUUUCACUAGAAAUAUUUACCAGCUUCUCGCAGUGUUUCAAUAUUGUUUCUGUGUUUCCAGAUAAUAAAAAUCUCUUCAUCAAA